rnacentral:rRNA from 1 species
AUUGAACGCUGGCGGCAUGCCUUACACAUGCAAGUCGAACGGCAGCACGGGGGCAACCCUGGUGCGGACGUGGCGGAACGGGUGAGACGAAUACAUCGGAACGUGUCCUGUAGUGGGGGAUAGCCCGGCGAAAGCCGGAUUAAUACCGCAUACGCUCUGAGGAGGAAAGCGGGGGACCUUCGGGCCUCGUGCUACAAGAGCAGCCGAUGUCAGAUUAGCUUGUUGGUGAGGUAAAAGCUCACCAAGGCGACGAUCUGUAGCUGGUCUGAGAGGACGACCAGCCACACUGGGACUGAGACACGGCCCAGACUCCUACGGGAGGCAGCAGUGGGGAAUUUUGGACAAUGGGCGAAAGCCUGAUCCAGCAAUGCCG